UUACUGGGCGUAAAGCGUGCGCAGGCGGAUUGUUAAGCAAGACGUGAAAUCCCCGGGCUUAACCUGGGAAUGGCGUUUUGAACUGGCAGUCUAGAGUGUGUCAGAGGGGGGUGGAAUUCCACGUGUAGCAGUGAAAUGCGUAGAUAUGUGGAGGAACACCAAUGGCGAAGGCAGCCCCCUGGGAUAACACUGACGCUCAUGUACGAAAGCGUGGGUAGCAAACAGGAUUAGAUACCCUGGUAGUCCACGCCCUAAACGAUGUCAACUGGUUGUUGGGGGAGUGAAAUCCCUUAGUAACGAAGCUAACGCGUGAAGUUGACCGCCUGGGGAGUACGGUCGCAAGAUUAAAACUCAAAGGAAUUGACGGGGACCCGCACAAGCGGUGGAUGAUGUGGAUUAAUUCGAUGCAACCGCGAAAAACCUUACCUACCCUUGACAUGUCCAGAAUCCUGCAGAGAUGCGGGAGUGCCCGAAAGGGAAUUGGAACACAGGUGCUGCAUGGCUGUCGUCAGCUCGUGUCGUGAGAUGUUGGGUUGAGUCCCGCAACGAGCGCAACCCUUAUCAUUAGUUGCUACGCAAGGGCACUCUAAUGAGACUGCCGGUGACAAACCGGAGGAAGGUGGGGAUGACGUCAAGUCCUCAUGGCCCUUAUGGGUAGGGCUUCACACGUCAUACAAUGGUCGGUACAGAGGGUUGCCAAGCCGCGAGGUGGAGCCAAUCCCAGAAAGCCGAUCGUAGUCCGGAUUGUUCUCUGCAACUCGAGAGCAUUAAGUCGGAAUCGC
rnacentral:rRNA from 1 species